rnacentral:lncRNA from 1 species
UCUUCUUCUUCUUCUUCUUCUUCUUCUUCUUCUGCAACUGGAGAGAGAAAGCAUGAAAGAGAAAAAAAAAAAGGAAUUUCACAUUAAGAGAAGGGUAUUUCUGGAAAAAAUUAUCACCUCUCACUUUUGACUCUUUGACCAAACGGUUUAAAUGGACGGAAGGACUACGAAUUUGGACGGAAGAGAAAGUGAGGGACUUAAG